rnacentral:lncRNA from 1 species
CAAACCAAACCAAAAAACUAUUCAAUGAUUUAUUUCUGUAACGUUGUUUUGCACAUAGUGAAUUUAUGGACUAUCUCAUGAACUGAUCACAAGAGGGGUUACUGGAUACUGGAUACUUGAAAAUCAUUCGUUGUGCUUGGUCAUCUCUAAUGCUCCUUCUGUUUCAUGAAUAACAAGAUCUAACUUUUAUAACACAUUUUUUGCCCCAAAUUAAUUUCCUUUCAGCAAAAUAUUUUUCCCUUAGAGAUUUGAAUUGGUGAUAUAAACACAAAAUCUACUCUGCAACCAUUUGCAUAAACAGAAUUACUGUCUGAUGUUCACACAAGGAAUUUAACUUCUCUAUCCACUUCCCAGAAGUGAAGUACUCAUACGUAAAAAUAACUAUGAGGCGGACUGGUCCUUAUAUGUGCAGGCUGAGCAGAGGGGCCUUCCAAGCUUCAACAGAAAGCAAAGCAAGAGAGACUGUGGCCAGCUCGGAAAAGCAAGCUUCUAUACAUGACUGACCAAAAAUACUGCUGAACCCUACUCUCUGUGCUUUCUCUGUCCAUCCUGUGGGCCACCAAGGCUAUGAAGAAGGAGAUCAGAGCUGGUGAGAGCGAAGGAGGUGAUCUGUCAGAGGCUUCCAGCAAGAUUGUGGGUGACCAGAAUGAAGGUCAUAAAGGAUAAAAUCCUGGAGAUAUCCCGGAGAGUGUGAACUGUUGGAGAACCUGUUGGUCACCUCUCAGCCACUGUGGCGCCCUGGUGGAAUCACACCCAUGGCAAUUCCCAGCUUCAGAGAAGAGAACUAAGGUUGCAUCAUCUUGCUCAGCAGCUUGGAGAUCUGAUCAUCACCCGUUGUAUUAAAAGUCAGAAUGUGGAAUUGAAAAGGUUGAGAUCUGGGCUCCUGUUGCCUCCUCAGCACUUCAAAGUGGAUUUACAAAGUAACCAUCCCAACCACAAGCACACCACACCAGCCAGGCUUGUGGAAAUAUUGCCGAUCCUCACCUUCCCUCGCUGAACCUGGGCCAUCAUAGAGGCAAGAAUGCAAACUAUUCAGGGCUAAAAGAGGAAAGAGACAGUAUAAUUCUGUGGUUUACUUCCUAUGGUAUGACAUAAGAAGAGCGUUGAGGAGCCUGUUUAUUUGUCUCCAUUCAAGUUCAAUUAAAAACAAACAAGGAAAUAUCCACAAUCCUUUGGGAACGUGAACUGUAAAACCAAAGACUGCUAUCAGUAACUCAAGUGGAUGAAAUCUGUGCUGAACAUCUGUAUACCUAGUUGACCACACAAGUCAGAAGGACACUUCGGUUUUAUCGGAUGGAAGUUCUGGUGAACACGUUUUUUCCGAGACAAGCUUAAUGGCUCUUUCAUGUGGUUUGGUUUUGGUUAGUUUAUUGUGUACUUUUAUGUGUAGUUUGGCUGUUAUUCCUGAAAACAGAUCUGUUUCUUAACAAAAACAAAUGAAUGACUCGCUCUUUCUAAAUGACUUGCAACAAUAAACAUUAGGCUGCCACCCCCA